GCACUACUGAGGAGUCCUACACCAGGACGAAACGGUCGUCCAGUGC
rnacentral:hammerhead_ribozyme from 1 species